GUGGGUGUGGCAGAGUAGUUGUCGAGCAUGACCAGAAAUCAUGUGGGCUUUCCCUGUGUAGGUUCGAAUCUUGCCGCUCAUG
rnacentral:tRNA from 1 species